rnacentral:rRNA from 1 species
UACGGAGGGAGCUAGCGUUGUUCGGAAUUACUGGGCGUAAAGCGCGCGUAGGCGGCUUUGUAAGUUAGAGGUGAAAGCCCGGAGCUCAACUCCGGAACUGCCUUUAAGACUGCAUCGCUAGAACGAUGGAGAGGUGAGUGGAAUUCCGAGUGUAGAGGUGAAAUUCGUAGAUAUUCGGAAGAACACCAGUGGCGAAGGCGACUCACUGGACAUGUAUUGACGCUGAGGUGCGAAAGCGUGGGGAGCAAACAGG